CAGUCGCCGCGGUAAAACGUAGGUGGCAAGCGUUGUCCGGAAUUAUUGGGCGUAAAGGGCUCGCAGGCGGUUUCUUAAGCCUGAUGUGAAAGCCCCCGGCUCAACCGGGGAGGGUCAUUGGAAACUGGGAAACUUGAGUGCAGAAGAGGAGAGUGGAAUUCCACGUGUAGCGGUGAAAUGCGUAGAGAUGUGGAGGAACACCAGUGGCGAAGGCGACUCUCUGGUCUGUAACUGACGCUGAGGAGCGAAAGCGUGGGGAGCGAACAGGAUUAGAUACCCCGGUAGUCCCUGUCUCUUAUAC
rnacentral:rRNA from 1 species